CACGUAGUUAGCCGUGGCUUAUUCCUCAGGUACCGUCACUUGCUUCGUCCCUGAGAAAAGAAGUUUACAACCCGAAAGCCUUCUUCCUUACACGCGGCGUUGCUGGGUCGGGCUUGCGCCCAUUGCCCAAUAUUCCCCACUGCUGCCUCCCGUAGGAGUCUGGGCCGUGUCUCAGUCCCAAUGUGGCCGGCCAACCUCUCAGUCCGGCUACUGAUCGUCGCCUUGGUGGGCCGUUACCCCGCCAACCAGCUAAUCAGACGCGAGUCCAUCUCAGAGCGAUAAAUCUUUGAUAUCCAGAGCCAUGCGACCCAGAUAUAUUAUGCGGUAUUAGCAGCUUGUUCCAGCUGUUACUUCCCCACUCCAAGGCAGGUUACUCACGCGUUACUCACCCGUCCGCCACUAACAGUCCUAUCAGUUGUACCGAAAACUCCUUCGUAGGGUCGUUCCGUUCGUACUUGCUAUCGUGUUAACGCACCGCCGCCAGUCCGUUACACUCCU
rnacentral:rRNA from 1 species